rnacentral:rRNA from 1 species
UUCCCCUAGUAACUGCGAGUGAAGAGGGAAAAGCUCAAAUUUAAAAUCUGGCAGCUUCGCUGUCCGAGUUGUAAAUUAGAGAAGUGUUGCCCGUGUUGGACCGUGUACAAGUCUCCUGGAAUGGAGCGUCAUAGAGGGUGAGAAUCCCGUCUUUGACACGGACCCCCCAAUACUUUGUGGUGCACUCUCAAAGAGUCGUGUUGUUUGGGAAUGCAGCACUAAAUGGGUGGUAAAUUCCAUCUAAAGCUAAAUAUUGGCGAGAGACCGAUAGCGAACAAGUACCGUGAGGGAAAGAUGAAAAGAACUUUGGAAAGAGAGUUAAACAGUACGUGAAAUUGUUGAAAGGGAAACGCUUAAAGUCCAGUCGCGUUGGUUGGAAAUCAGUCUUGCUCUUUUGCUUGAUGUACUUUCUGAUUGACGGGUCAACAUCAGUUUUGACCGGUGGAUAAAGGUUGAGGGAAUGUGGCACCUUCGGGUGUGUUAUAGCCCUGUCUAACAUGCUUGCGAGUAUUUGGGUGGAAAACCCAUAUGCGCAAUGAAAGUGAAAGUUGAGAACUCGUUAGAGUGCAUCGACGCCCAUACCUGACGUUUUACUGACGGAUAUGCGGUAGAGCAAGUAUGUUGGGACCCGAAAGAUGGUGAACUAUGCCUGAAUAGGGUGAAGCCAGAGGAAACUCUGGUGGAGGCUCGUAGCGAUUCUGACGUGCAAAUCGAUCGUCAAAUUUGGGUAUAGGGGCG